rfam:Oryza glumipatula chromosome 4, whole genome shotgun sequence.
UCCCAAAAUAACCGUAAAUAUCCGUGCCCAACAUUUGACCGUCCGUCUUAUUUGAAAAAUUUAUGAAAAAUUUAAAAAUAUUUAGUCACACAUGAAGUACUAUUCAUGUUUUAUCAUCUAAUAGCAAUAAAAAUACUAAUCAUAAAAAAUUUUCAAUUAAGACGAACGAUCAAACGUUGAACGUGAAUAGUGUAAAACUGCACUUAUU